rnacentral:rRNA from 1 species
AGCUGCCUACGGGACGCAGCAGUGAGGAAUAUUGGUCAAUGGGCGGGAGCCUGAACCAGCCACGUCGCGUGAGGGAAGACGGUCCUAUGGAUUGUAAACCUCUUUAGGCGGGGAGCAAUGCCGGGCACGCGUGUCCGGAGGGAGAGUACCCGCAGAAUAAGCAUCGGCUAACUCCGUGCCAGCAGCCGCGGUAAUACGGAGGAUGCGAGCGUUAUCCGGAUUUACUGGGUGUAAAGGGAGCGUAGACGGCAAUACAAGUCGGAAGUGAAAUACCCGGGCUCAACCUGGGAACUGCUUUGGAAACU